AAUCCACCGAAACUUGGUGAUGACGUACGCUCGCAAGAUUCGUUAUCGUAUCUCGAGAUUCGGCGCACACACGGUUGCAAUAUGGCGCACGCGGGUGUAAUCCUUUCACAUCGUUGGUGGCGCUGGUCAGCGCGUGAAUAAUGGGGAGAAAAUCGUAAACGGCCGAGAAAAAUAACUUUGCGGGCGCCCACAAUGCCCUAGGGGCUCGCCUAGCGCGCGCUUUGGCCAGCGGCCUACUUUUUUAUUGGAAGAUAUAGCCCCUUGCCACAAACUAAUGUACAGCGAAGAGAACGCAUGACCAUUGCAGCACUGUACGUCCUGCUGAAAAGUUCUGGGUCAAGUCUGGUGCUUCAUUGUUCGAUCAUGGAUGCAAACAAACAAUUAUUCGAGAACUUCUGCAAUGAGAGCUGGCCGCCGGACCGUAUCAAAACAUCAAAUGUCAUGUGGGAGGCAAAAAUAAGUACCAUCAUCCAGAGCUUGGAGUCCGGAGUGUUUUCUUGUCCACAGGUA